UGACCAAUGGUGUAAUGGUAGCACUGCAGAUUUUGGUUCUGCCUGUCUAGGUUCGAGUCCUGGUUGGUCAA
rnacentral:tRNA from 1 species